AUCCUCUAUUUGGAUGCUUCUAGCUGUUACAUCCCAGGUUUUAGGCGCCAUGCUGAAAGUGUUGGAACUGGUACUAUAUUUAGAUGCCUUAGCUCUUUUACUUUUUUAUACCACUGGGUUGCUAUGGUGAUGGUGGAGCAGGGAGGGGGAAGGACAGCUUGAAAGAAAGCAUGGAGCUCAGCCAUAAAGAUCAUCUGCCCUGGCUGUGGACUGUUCCUGGGAGUUGGCAUUCUCUAAGGAGCUUUAGCAGAGCAUUUCAUCAGGAGAUGCUGCAAGAAGACAGGUGUUUGGGUAUCCAGUUCACCACGAUUACACCAAACCCUCUCCGAGGAAGAAGACAGAGUAUUAUUGUUCAUUACUCUGGACACACUCCUUCCUCUGGGCUUUCUAAUGUGGAAUCUAUUCAUUUCUCGAAUCCUCCACUGUGUGUUUCAAAUAGGAGCGGCCUUUCUAAGCAAUGUCUGACCCAAAGACCAUGCCAUCUUUAAGCUGCAGAUGUGGUCCGGUGACUGGUUAGAGCUGUGUCUCCACUCUGAUAGAGGAAGCAAGUCCGAGAGACAAAGGCUGGCAUGGGAGGAGCGGAAAGACCCCUGGAGAUGGACGAGAUCCAAGCUCUGGUCAUCGCCGCCACUUUUCUCCUCAGCCUUUAGCAUGGGGCCACUGAAUCUCUCCUCUCAGAAGUGAAGUCAAAGUUUCAUUUUCUGCCUUUUGCAGCCAAUGAGUCUUCUCAAACAGCACCUGCCACCUUAUUCAAGUCUCUACAGCUAGUAGUGGAUUCAGGAUUCUGCAUUCAAUAAUGGCCUUCAUAAACUAUCUUCUGUUUUCAGCCUGAAAUAACAUUUGUCAUUAUGGGAUUUAGGGGCGUGGUGACUGAUCACAUGUUACACUUGUCACAGGUGCUAGGAGGGUCCCAUGUUAGCACUGCAGCAUGAAAUGAUAGCUUCCCAUGCAUUCUGACCAUAUACUGAGCCUGAGUUUGUUCCUUUGGCAUUAGGUCAACUAUCCCGCAGACUAUUUCUAACAACUGACUAAUUAAUUGGCUCUCCUCAAGCUUAAUCUGGGAAGACCAGAUGGGAGAGACUGCAGCAUGCUUAUCAGCAAUCGUCUAUACUUGGUCAUGUGAUUGAUUUCCUAUUUGCAUGGUGCAUAGAGCAUUGGGUAUAAAAGAUGAAAUAAUGUAUUUGGACACUGAUAAACCAGCUAGGUUGCCUUAGGAAAACAAUAUUACUCGUUUGGGUCCUGCUUUCCCCAUUUGCUGGCUGGAGACAUCCCAUAGUAUCUGCCUUCUACAGAGAGGAUGGGAUUGGGGAAGAUAAGCCCAGCAGCACUUUGUCCUUAGCUAUGCUUUCUCAGAGAGUCAUGCCAGGCUCAUCACUAAACAAACAGGCUGCUGUAGAACUGACAGGUUUGCUCUGAUAAAUACAUGGCCCAAGGCAGGGUCACUCUUGCAAGAGCUGCCCUGAUGUACUUGAUGAAGGAGCUGAGGUGAGCCUCCCUAACUCUGAUAAGCUCAUUUGUCAGCUGCCCCUGCUUUGAAAGCCUCUUGGCUCAGGAUUUGGUGAUGAAAAUGGCUCUUGAGUCUUUUGCCACCCCCCCCCCCUGUCCUUAUGACGCACACACUAGUAUGUGUCCUAACUAAUGCCCUGGCUGGAAUCUAAGUGCAACCUGACAGAUUGUUCCUUGCUAGGCCCCCUGCCAGCAUGCUGCUGGAGAGCACAGCUCUCCUGUAUAAAGCCCAGUAAGGAUGGCUGAUGGGUCGGCAUGGGCCACUUGUUCAGGGGGCCCAUCUAGUUCUGAAUCUGCCUCUGUCCUUGCCCUUGCCAUACAUUUUUUUUCCCCAGAAGCUCUUUUCCAGGGACUCUCCUCCAGUAGAAGGCCAUGGUAGAAAGAUGGUGGUUCUGGAGACACGGGUUCAAAUCUCUGUCCUGCUGUCACGUGUCUGUGGAAACUAACAUUUGGGAAUAAUAAGGCUCGUAUUGCACUGAAGCCAUAACCAACAGUCAGCUAACAUCCACAUAUAGCGGUGCUAAGGAAAUGCUGGUUUCCUUUCUCAUUUCUCAGUCAUAAGACAGAAAGCAUCCCCGUCAAUGAGAUACCUUAUAUUUUAGGAAGAAAAUGGCAUGUACAGUUGAGUCCAAAAAGGAAUGUUUCCAAAGGGCACCGUGGGAAACAAUGUAUUUCCCUUUAUCUACAACAUGCUGAGAGUCAGAUUUAGGGUUCUGCAUUUCUUCAGCAACAAGAAAGGAUGCAACAUGAACUAAAUGACUGCCCGGCUAGGAGGCAUACGGAGAGGGUGGGGCUCGGUUGAAGACAGAUUGUGUUCUUUGGUGCUGGUGGAAAGGGUAGACCUGCUCAGCAAAGCCCCAGGGGCUGGCAGUCUAUGAUAGUGACAAGAGUUAUUCUCAUCUGCGGAGCUGGCUUACAUUUUCAAAGCACUUUCUCUUCUUUUAUCUUUGUCCCCCUUACAACGUCCAUGUGAGACGGGUGUUAUCACUCCCAUCUGAUGGAAAGGAAAUGAAGCCAGUGCAGGAGUAUUGUAAGUGACAAGACAGGCUCUCAGGAGUCGGACAUAAAGCAGCAUUCUCCCUCUUAGCUCAGUGAGGUGACCUUGAACUAACUGAUUGUACUGUGGGUCUCAGUUUGCUUGUUUGUAAUCUGUUCUCAAAGCACCCAUCCUUCAUCACAGGGUACGGAGAAGAUACACUCUAGAGACCUAAAUUCAAACCUCACUGCACCCCAUACUAGCUCCAUGCGGGAUUAGCAAACAAGUCCCCAACUGCUCCUAGGACCCAGCAUGCUUACUCCAGAGCUUGGAACUUCAGGAAGUUCACUUUGGGUAUCCUUGUCCUCAGGACCUUUUCUGGAGAUUGUUCUAUGGUCCCUAGAUGCCCUGAAAGGUCUCUGGAUAAGCUUAUGGGUAAGCUGAGAAGACACACUUCCUAUAGAGAUCAGACACCAUGUUGAGUAGAUUGAGUAUUGACAAUAAAGCUAGAGAUCUGAAUCCCUGCCA
rnacentral:lncRNA from 1 species